rnacentral:rRNA from 1 species
GAUGAACGCUGACAGAAUGCUUAACACAUGCAAGUCGAUGGGGAAGUGGUGAUUGCACCGUGGUAACCAUGGCGGACGGGUGAGUAACGCGUAAGGAACUCGCAUGCUGGACUGGGAUAACAGCAGGCAACUGCUGAUAUUACCGGAUAAGGUCAUUAAGCUGCAUAGCUUAGCGAUGAAAGGAGAGGCCUGGGGAGAGCCUGGCGUCCUAUUAGCUAGUUGGAGGGGUAAGGGCCCACCAAGGAGAAGAGAGGUAGCCGGCCUGAGAGGGUGGACGGCCACAAGGGGAAUGAGAUACGGCCGUGACGCCUACGGGAGGCAGCAGUGGGGAAUAUUGGACAAUGGGGGCAACCCUGAUCCAGCAAUUCUGUGUGCACGAAGACGGUUUUCGGAUUGUAAAGUGCUUUCAGCAGGGAAGAAGGAAGUGACGGUACCUGCAGAAGAAGCGACGGCUAAAUACGUG